rnacentral:lncRNA from 1 species
GACCGUCUUAUUUGAAAUCUUGGAAUCUCUUUUGGUGAGGUUAGGGCCAUCCUUUUUCUUCACCAUCACAUUGGUACUUAAUUCAGCCUAGUCCAUUUUCCAGCUUAUCUUUUGGAUUUUCGCCUUCUCUGCUCUCUUCUCCACUAGGACCUCGUCAUGGGAUACUUUCCUUUAUAAUUUUCGGACACAUGUGUGGUCCUUUUGUUGGAUCGGAAUUCCUGGUGAUAGGCCAACGAUUAACCUCUUUCAACCUCGAACUUCUGCCACUUUCCAUGGCCACGUUUUCU